GCUGGAGGUGCGGCAAAAACACGCAGGCACCUCACUAGGCCCAGCUCGCUCGCCGUGUGGCACAGUAUCUGGUAAGAGGCUGGUUCAGGUAUGCACGGGUGUUCAGGACAACGAUGAAACGAAAACAAGCAAACAAGCAAAAAAACUCCCUGGCACCACAAAUAUUCUAGAGAGAGAAAAGGUGAGUUAUGGAGAGAAGGGUUAGAAACUAAUCUGGAAGCAAAAUUACUUCCCUCUUGAAAAUACUCAGGGCUGGCUGCUUGGCAGCUAGAAUCCAGGGGUUCAGUUUGGGAAGAAACCCAGCACAAGGGAGGCAGGGGGUGUUCCUGAAGGACCCGGGCAGGCAAGUCCAGCUGCGCCCCCAUGGGCUGAUGGACCAAACAGGACUCAACCCUCAGACUCCUUCCCCAGGAUCAGGAGAGGCCUGAUUGUAAGGAUGAAGGCCAAGAGGGAACAUGUUAUCAGGGUACAAGCUGGAAGGAAGGCUGCUCACCAUAAAGCAGAAAUAAGGGCAGAGUUCCUGAGGCUGACAGAAGCAGCAGCGGUGGCAGUGACCUGUCCCUCUAAAGAACAGCAGGAAAGGCUCUCAGGAGGUGGCUCAUCCCUGGUGGUUCCAAGCAGAGGACGGCCGGGGCAGGGUCCCAGGGAGCUGCACGAGGGCUGCCCUCACUGGCUCGGGGGUAGGCUGGACCGGAGUGCCUCCAGGGUUCCCAUCAAACUCCUCGACUCCACAACUCUGGAACGAAGAAGGGUUUCCACCAGAGGGGCCAAGGGAAAGAGGCUGUCACCUACAAUGGCAGACUGGAAGACGAAGCUAACUCUAGGACAGACAAAGGACCCACUCCCCAAACCCCAGCAUCCCAGGGCGAAAUGCAGCUUUGGGGACCCUCUAGAGUAGGGCUGACCUCCCGGGGCAUGAACAUCUCUUCUACAACAGCCCCGGCUGGACAUUUCUGGUGAUGGAGCGUGCUACGGCACACCCGGGCGACAGAGAAGAGAAAUCAGUUGAAAAGCUCUUCCUUUCCCUGGAUUCAAGGAGGCCUCAGGACAGCAGAGUAAGAAAAACACCUCACAUUCCUUUGAACAAACCUCUGGCGAAGCUGCUCAGAGCCGCCUCCAGCUCACUCCAGAAGAGGGGCUUCUAGAGGGACAGAAGAGUCCCGUGGGCGUGGAAGGCUGCUGUGGGGACAGGGGACAGCAAAGGGGACCACUCACCCUCCCCCCCUUCCAGGGAGCAGCAGGGCGGCUGGCCGCGGUGCUGUCUACUUCCGGCCUUCCCCCUUCUGUCCUGGCUGUAAGGAGCAAACCGAGGAGAAGCGGCUCCCAGGUGAGAGGCAGAGACACUGCAGAGGCAAGAGAGACGCAGUCAGGGCCGAGAGGAAGCAGGGGAGCAGCCGGAGAAAACGGCCAUGGCUCUGGGCAGGUCCAGCCAGAGGAGGACCUGGUCCCAGAAGCUGGUGGCUGCCUGGUCCUUCCUCAGGCUAAAGGAAGCAUGCAUGGCACCCUGGUUUCCAUCCCUCCCAACAGGUGCGCAUCUUUUCCACAUGCUUCCUCGAAGCCUCGACGGAGGCGACUCUGCUCCCCAGGGGACAUCUGGCAAUAUCUGGAGACAUUUCUGGUUGGCAUGACUGGGAGGUACCACAGGCAUCUACACUUCCACACUUUACCUGGGUUGAGGCCAGGGAUGUUGCUAAACAUCCUACAGUGCACAGGACAGCCCACCCCCCGACCCUGCAACAGAAAAUUAUCUGGCCCCAAAUAUCAACAGUGCCACGCCUGGGAAACCCUCCUCUAUGCCCCAGCACAGGUAAAGCCUAAUCUCUGUUUACGCGGAAGAAUGAAAGAGAAGAGAAACCAAAUUUACUCCAGUUCAUUCUCCCCUCUGAAGAGCAAGGAAAUCACCCCUAAUUACACUGCCCCAUGAGAGAAAGUUGAAAUCCUGCCAGGAGGGAAAUCCUCGAGAAAGGAACAAGUUUACAAAAAAUUGACUUAAGUUUCUCUAACACAACUCUCAAAGCCAAGCAUCUGUAUCCCUUUACAGUGAAGGAAAGAGCAGGAGAGGCGGCAGGCAGAGGACAGGGGCAGCAGCCUUCCCGGCUGCUUGGUCUCAGGGUCUCUUGGAACUCGCUCCAGCUUCGCCCCUACCCCUCGGCCCGCCCUCGGCAUCUGUCUGCCCAUCCACCUGCUCCCUCCUCGCCCUCUUCUCUCUCUCUGGCCUCAGUAUACCCUCACUCCCUUGGCAUCUGGAUUAUUGCUAUUAAAAGGCUGCCCCCUGCCGGACUCAAGGGGAGAGGACACACAUUG
rnacentral:lncRNA from 1 species